rnacentral:rRNA from 1 species
AUUGAACGCUGGCGGCAUGCUUUACACAUGCAAGUCGAACGGCAGCGCGGGCUUCGGCCUGGCGGCGAGUGGCGAACGGGUGAGUAAUGCAUCGGAACGUGCCCAGUAGUGGGGGAUAGCCCGGCGAAAGCCGGAUUAAUACAGCAUACGACCUGAGGGUGAAAGCGGGGGACCGAAAGGCCUCGCGCUAUUGGAGCGGCCGAUGUCGGAUUAGCUAGUUGGUGGGGUAAAGGCUUACCAAGGCGACGAUCCGUAGCUGGUCUGAGAGGACGACCAGCCACACUGGGACUGAGACACGGCCCAGACUCCUACGGGAGGCAGCAGUGGGGAAUUUUGGACAAUGGGGGCAACCCUGAUCCAGCCAUGCCGCGUGCGGGAAGAAGGCCUUCGGGUUGUAAACCGCUUUUGUUCGGGAAGAAAUCCUCUGGGCUAAUACCCCGGGGGGAUGACGGUACCGGAAGAAUAAGCACCGGCUAACUACGUG